rnacentral:rRNA from 1 species
CCUACGGGAGGCAGCAGUAAGGAAUAUUGGUCAAUGGAGGCAACUCUGAACCAGCCAUGCCGCGUGCAGGAAGACAGCCCUAUGGGUCGUAAACUGCUUUUAUACGGGAAUAAACUUUGAUUCGUGAAUCAAGCUGAAUGUACCGUAAGAAUAAGGAUCGGCUAACUCCGUGCCAGCAGCCGCGGUAAUACGGAGGAUCCAAGCGUUAUCCGGAUUUAUUGGGUUUAAAGGGAGCGUAGGCGGCCUAUUAAGUCAGGGGUGAAAGACGGUGGCUCAACCAUCGCAGUGCCUUUGAUACUGAUGGGCUUGAAUAUAGUUGAGGUAGGCGGAAUGUGACAAGUAGCGGUGAAAUGCAUAGAUAUGUCACAGAACACCGAUUGCGAAGGCAGCUUACUAAGCUAUGAUUGACGCUGAGGCUCGAAAGCGUGGGGAAUCAAACAGGAUUAGAUACCCUGGUAGUCCACGCCCUAAACGAUGAUAACUCGAUGUUGGACGAUAUACAGUCGAGACGUACCGAACGACGAACGACGUUAAGUUAUACCACCGUGGGAGGACGCCCGCCGACGGUAGAAACGUACGAAAGAAAGUUAGACGGCGUAGAGACGAGCCGACGGACGACGACGAGGGGAGGUAGG